GACAGAGGUGCCGAGCGUUAGGCGGAAUCACUGGGCUUAAAGCGUGUGUAGGCGGACUUCUAAGUACCUUGUGAAAUCCCACGGCUCAACCGUGGAACUGCUUGGUAUACUGGUUGUCUUGAGCCACUUAGGGGCAGUCGGAACAGACGGUGGAGCGGUGAAAUGCGUUGAUAUCAUCAGGAACACCGGAGGCGAAGGCGGCUCACUGGGGAUUUUUUCUGACGCUGAGGAACGAAAGCCAGGGGAGCGAACGGGG
rnacentral:rRNA from 1 species